AUUGAUGGGUAGAUGGUAACAUCAUGUCUGUUCAUCAUUACUCAGCAGACCUGGUUCCAUCAGAUGUGACUGCCCUUCAGGCCUUACAGAAGGUGAUUUGUUGAAACAAGUCUGUCUCCUCCGUUAGACUAAGCUCCGCGAGGGGUGAGAAAGUUGUUCCGUCCACUCGUCCUCCGGGGCUAGCAGGACAUAUUCUGUAUUAAAUGAGUAGAUGACAGAAACCCCGUGAGAGAAAGAGUGAGCCGAGCCAGUGGUUCUCUAAGUGUGGCUCCAGGACCAGCGGACCAGCAGCUCAGCAUCGCCUGAGGAUUUGUUAGAAAUGCAAAUUCUCUGACUUGGUUGGGGGACCCAGCAAUCCGGGUUUGAAAGAACUGUCCAAGGGGGGAUUCCUGUGCACACUGAAGUUUGAGAACCACCGAAGGCGGCAAAUCCCCUGCUGUUGGGUGAGUGUGCACUGUGGCAGCUUUGGUGACCUGUAAGAGGAACCAUGGAUGAGCAAACCCCACCUUCAAAUGUAGCAAAGGGCAGAGAGAGGGUGGACACGUCACCCAGACCCCCAAA
rnacentral:lncRNA from 1 species